UACUCGAGUGGCGAACGGGUGAGUAACACGUGGGUGAUCUGCCCUGCACUUCGGGAUAAGCCUGGGAAACUGGGUCUAAUACCGGAUAGGACCAUCGUUUAGUGUCGGUGGUGGAAAGUUUUUCGGUGCAGGAUGAGCUCGCGGCCUAUCAGCUUGUUGGUGGGGUAAUGGCCUACCAAGGCGUCGACGGGUAGCCGGCCUGAGAGGGUGGACGGCCACAUUGGGACUGAGACACGGCCCAGACUCCUACGGGAGGCAGCAGUGGGGAAUAUUGCACAAUGGGCGCAAGCCUGAUGCAGCGACGCCGCGUGGGGGAUGAAGGCCUUCGGGUUGUAAACUCCUUUCAACCAUGACGAAGCAUUAUGUGACGGUA
rnacentral:rRNA from 1 species